CUUGGUCAUAUAAGUUACACUAACCUAAAGGAUGGGAAACCAUCAAAAGCAUUUAGGCAAGAAAAUGUCAAUAUCAGAGAUAUGUUUUAAAACAUUACUUUGAACACUGUGUGAGGAAGGGAUUAAAGGCGAGAAAGAGAGCAAAGCCAGAGAGAUGAAUUAGGAGGUUAUGUUAGUUAGAAAUGCUUUCAGCUUCAAGUAAGAGAAUACCCAAAUACCUUAAACCCUGUAGCAACAUUUAUGGUUUACCAACAGGAAAUCGGGAAACAAUGCCUCCUCAGGAACAGUUUGGGAGCUCUGUGAUUUCAUUAAAAACCCGAGCUUUCUCCAUCCUUCUCCAUCACCAUCUUCCAUGUGUUGGCUUUUUCUUCUCUCCUGUCGUCUCCUGGUUGCAAGAUGGCUGCCUUAGCUUUCAGACACAAUAAUCUGAUUCAAGGCAGGAGGAAGGGGGAAGGGACAGCGAUAGCUACCAUCUGUUCCAUUUCUCUAGAAAGCAAAACUUUCCCAAAAGCCCAUCACAGAUGUCUUUUUACAUCUCAUUGGUCAGAACCAGGUCACAUUGCCCCUCUAACUGCAAGGAAGGCUAGAAAUUUGAUCAGGCUUCUUCAUUAUGAUUCAGUACCUGGAGCUGGACACAUUGUUGCCUGGAGCAAAACUGGAGUUCUGAUAGCCAGGUAAAAAGAGAAAUGACUUUGGGGUAGGAAAUCAACAGUGAUGGUCACAGAGGCCAGGGAAGAUGGCCCUGACUAAGAUGCUGGCAUUGGACACAGAGAUAUUUAAGAGGUGGAAGUUACAGAACUUGGUGAUGGGAUGUGAGGAAUGAAGGAGGGGAAGGAGAAAAGGAUGAUUUCCAGGUUUGAGCUUGGGCAGCCAACAGAUUGUGAUGUCAUCUACUACAACAGAAAAUAUGAAGAAGAAACACAGGUGUGAGGAAGAUGAAAAGUCCACUUUUAAACAUUCAACUCACUGAAGGUCAGCAAGAACUGACCAACACAACUCAAUAUCCCAACGUUUUUCUACCAAGUCCCCUAGAUUGCUGCCCUGAUGUUGUUUAACGUUUUACCAUGGGAACGCUUUGAGCACGUCUAAAUACUGAAUAAGAUCCAGGAGAGUAGCAAAGAUUGGAGAUACAGGAAACAGAGGGCUGAAGGUGGCAGGGCAUGGGCUCCAUGUCACCAGUGGAAAGAUGGACCUCCCACAGUCGCCUUCCAUUGUAGCGGGAGGCAGGGGAAGGAUGGGCAAGGUGCAGGGGGAUUGUACAUGUCUGCGUUGGCUCACUCCAUUCCUUUUCAACCCCGUUCUACACUACCUUCCUCUGUUAUAGAAGCUGGAAAGGAAAAUGCUCAAAUUUCCAGCAUCCCUUGCAGCUUGGGGUGUCCAUGGGAUGAGUUCUAGUCAAUGAGAAUAUCAGAAAUCCCAGAGGAGGUCUUCCCUUCCUGAAUAAAAGGGUAAAGCAGUGAGAUUUUCCAUUCUCUCAUUUUUGUUUCCUCUUUUCUUCUUGCCUGAACAUUGGUUUUGAUGCCCAGAGAUCCAGCAGUUAUCUUGCAACCAUGAGGAGAAUGGCCACACACUAAGGAGGAUGGAACAGGAAGGUAGAAAGAACCCGGUACCUUGAUGCCCUUGAGCAGCUGCACCUGCCCUGGCGUGCCUACCCUCAGACUUCCUGUUGCAUUGGAAGAAAGGAAGGGAGGGAGGGAGGAAGGAAGAAAACAACUGUCUCAGUUAAGCUAUGGCCUGUAAGGGUUCUGUUACUCGUAAGCAGGAGCCUGGCUUGUGCACCCCCGGGGCCUGCGGGGCCUCCCUUCCUUCCCAGGUGCCCUCCCCUGACAGCUGUGGGUAUCAGCCUCCUGUCGAAGUUUGGCACGAAAGCAGGUUUUGCGUUAGAAGUCUCAGAGGAGCCUCUUUUUGGGAAGGAGUAGUGAAGACAAGAGAGAACAGAGAGACACACGGAGUAGCAGAAGGAGCAGCUGGCUGGGGUUGAUUGAUCUGGUCCUGGCCCUCAGCCUGCCACUAACCAGCUCUGUGACCUCUCUGGGCCUCAGUCUACAGAACAAAGGAUUUGAGCUGGAGCAGUGUUUCUCAACUUCAUAACCAUCAAAAAGAAGGACCUCGUAUUUCUUUUAAGAUUUUUCUCUGCCAGACUGCAUUUAUCAAAUAAUUCAUAUUUCCAUGAGAAUACUGUGUUGAUACAAUUCCGGCCAAAAGCAAAGAAAAAUAACUUUUUAAUUUAGCCUUGUUAGUCUUACCAUAGGAUGAAACUUCCAUUAGUUCUUUGGAAAAAUUGGAAAUGUUUCUCGGGUCCACAUGAUUAUCUUGAGGACUUGUUGUGCCCUAGGGCUUUCCUACAAGAGUGCUGGCCUAGGAGUUCACUGGGGUCCAGUUCUGCUUUCCGUGAUGCCGGAGCCUGUGCCCCUUAGGAGCCAGUGGAGGUGCAUUUUCCCUCCUGCCCCCAGGCCCAGUGCCAAUUCCCAGUGCCAGGAGCUCGCUUCCCUCGUGAAAAACAAGCCUGUCGGAAUGGCACCUUCCUGCUGACCUGAGGGCACCUCAUUCACCCUCCUGCCUGCUAUCCCUCCUCACAGGCCCUUUCCCCCAUCCCACCUCCCCCCCAUCCCAGGAGGGAGUUGUCUCACCUAAGCCUUCAUCUCCAUGAGCCUGCUCUGCGGCCUUCUGACCUGAGAGACCUGGAGACGCUUUCAGCCAGUCAGAGGAGGAAGCCUGGUCAUCUCCCUCAGGCAGCUCCAUCGCCUGGUGAAGAGGGAAGGGCAGAGGCUCCCAACCCAGCUGAUAAAUGCUGUCACAGAGGGUCCAAUCUGCUGCUGGAGCCCUGAACGGUCAGCUCUGCUUGGAAGUGCGAAAGGUCAGAGAGAGGAGGGAAGAUCUGAGUCAGGGCCUGAAGGAUGAAGGGAGAAGCCUUUGAAGACCAGAGCCCCAGGAAGGUCAGCUGGGCUAGGAAGGGCAGGGCUUCAUGCUGGUUAGCAACUCAUUUGCCUGAUAACUUUAUUUAAGGCCUCUCUCCCUCCUUCUUCCAUCCUCCCACCAAUAUUUAUUGAGCAUCUUUUUUGUGCCAGUACCAUGUUAGGUGAUAGAAAUAAAUUCAUAUUCAUAUUUCAUAUCACAGGGCGUGCACUGUCCUGAAGGAGCUCACAGAUUAGUGGAGAGAGAAACAUGGAGAACUUGUAGCCUCUGGUCCUGCAUUAGGGGAAGCACCUUCAAGGAGACACACCCUAGACUCCAGAGCAGCAGCUGACAACCCCUGAUGACACGAGGCAGCGUGCCACCAAACCACAGAGCAGCCUCAAUAGGUCCUAGCCCCAGGCCCCUCUUAUAUCUGACGUUUGCCCCGUCUUGGUUGAAGAGCAGCCCUGAGUCUUCUGUCCGCUCUGGAAGCUGUGGAAUUUUCCCGCCUGGAGGCUGGAGACUGGAGCAGGUGACCUCUUAUGCUCCACGCAUCUGUAGUGGGAGGAGGGCUCUGAGGAAGCCUCUGAGCCUGCCCUUCCGUUCAGGCGGCAGCGUGCAGGGCAGAGGGGGAGGAGCCUCCCGAGAACAGGCUACAUCUGCUCUCCUAAUCCUGCUCCUGAGGAGGCGUGACAGGACAGUCCCCCCUCAGGGCCUCGCUGCCCUGCCACAGUCCAGGCCUGGACAGAGGAUGAGGACUGUGUGCAUCACAAAGCAAUCCUCAGAGGUGCUACAGUCCUGGGAUAUCCUGGAGGAGAGAGGCCAGUGCAUUACACAAAUAUAAAGGGUUUAUCUUUUUCUUCUUCUCUAUCCUCUGUUUCAGCCCUUCUCCUGCCCCGCCCAUGCUCUCCAAGCCAAACCAGCAAAUUGGCAGAGAAAACUAACCAAGAUCUAUUUGAGGAAUGGGAAACUUGGGAAAGAAGAUGCUUCUAGAAUUUCUUCCCCAUGCUCUAGUCUGGGCAGGUUGCUCCCGGGAGGGUUGGGCUGUGGGUUGCCACUGUUAGAAUCUAAUAGGAGCUGCCUUCCUCUCGCUCCCGGCCCUGCCUAGUUAUUUGCAAGCCUGCUUGUUAGGGAAAUUCAAUUCCCCCUGGAACCCACCACCUGGAAAAACACCUCGCAGCACACAUAGUGAACAACGAGUGCAUUAACGGGGGAGGAGGAGACGGUGGCAGGCACUGGACCAAGGCGCCAUCAGUUCUGGAGGCUAGUGAAGUCUUCCAGCUGAACCGAAGCAUGUUGUUGUGCCUGGCCGGGAGGACAGCCGCACUCGCCUGGCGUCUGAAUGUGCCCCUCCACUCCCCGCUCUCCAGAGUCCGGGGGCACCGUGGAAUGAAUGCGCCAUUGCUUCACCAGGCUUCCAGGUUUGGCUCUCUUUGCAGGCCUUUGCUAAGUGCCAGGGUCGCCUUCAAGUUCAGCUCCCUCCGUGAACAGAGCCCAGUAGGUGCUUGGAGAGCAGGGGGAGAAGGAUGAGAACUCCCAGGAUACACAGGCUCUGUCCGGGGAGCUCUCAGCCUGAUGGAGACCCACCUGCCCUCAGGAAGUAAAGGCAGAGAGAGUCCCACAGGAGGGAGGCUCUGUAUUGCACGCAGUCGAGCAUGAACAUCAAAGCCAUCCCCGUCUGCUGUGAGGAGACCACCUCCAAGGUGAGGAAACUAAGGCACAGAAAAGCUGAGUAACUUGCCCAAGGCUCCACGGUCAUUAAGGGGUCGAGCCAGAUUUUAAACCAGAGUCUGUACUCUCAGGCACCUCCAUAAGAGACCAGGAUGUGGAAGCUUCUGGGAGUCCUUCUCUGGAUCCACAGAAGGCGUGCUCUCUAAGCAGGUAGUCCCAUAGGCGGGGCCAACUCCAGAGGCCUGGGGAGCCAGCGCACUGGGAGAGAGUCCAGCAUGGGCACAGCUGACUCUGGGACCCCUGGGGCCUCUCUCCCCACUACACCCCAUCCAGGGCUGCUGGGGCGAAAUGGAUUCAUGGAAAUGAGGGUGCUGGCAAUGUUGGAAGAUGCUCCCUACACACAAGGCCGUAACUUCCCCAGACUGGCAGGGCUGGGACAUCAGUGAGGUCUUCUAGUCAGAACGAAGGUCAGGGGACACAGCCAGGCAGGGAGAUGGCUCCUGCUAAAUGAGCCCAUCACUUUCCUCCCGGCCCUGCCUGCCUGCUCUCCGUGCCUGACCUUUCCCCAACUCUCAGAGGGAGAGGGGAGAGAGGGAGGCUGAGGAG
ensembl:lncRNA